rnacentral:rRNA from 1 species
GGGUUGUGAGGUUAAGCGACUAAGCGUACACGGUGGAUGCCCUGGCAGUCAGAGGCGAUGAAGGACGUGCUAAUCUGCGAUAAGCGUCGGUAAGGUGAUAUGAACCGUUAUAACCGGCGAUUUCCGAAUGGGGAAACCCAGUGUGAUUCGUCACACUAUCAUUAACUGAAUCCAUAGGUUAAUGAGGCGAACCGGGGGAACUGAAACAUCUAAGUACCCCGAGGAAAAGAAAUCAACCGAGAUUCCCCCAGUAGCGGCGAGCGAACGGGGAGCAGCCCAGAGCCUGAAUCAGUGUGUGUGUUAGUGGAAGCGUCUGGAAAGGCGCGCGAUACAGGGUGACAGCCCCGUACACAAAAAUGCACAUAUUGUGAGCUCGAUGAGUAGGGCGGGACACGUGGUAUCCUGUCUGAAUAUGGGGGGACCAUCCUCCAAGGCUAAAUACUCCUGACUGACCGAUAGUGAACCAGUACCGUGAGGGAAAGGCGAAAAGAACCCCGGCGAGGGGAGUGAAAAAGAACCUGAAACCGUGUACGUACAAGCAGUGGGAGCCUCUUUUAUGG